CUCGGUCAUCUCAUCGAGUUAGAGCUCUCCGGUCUUCACGGAGCUUGUACCUCUUCAAAUUUAAAUCCAAUUCCAAUCCGAUUAAAAAAUUUUACUCAAAAAGUAUUCGUCGCCACAGCCAGGGAAGUGGUUCGUACACGUUUUCAAGAAGCCAAAACGGGUGUGGAAUUAUCGUCUUUUUUCUUCUAGUUAAUUGCUGUCCAACUGUUCGAUGAAGUGCUUGGUAGAGAAAAAAAAAAAAAAAGGAGCAGAAAAAGAAUACCCAGCAGGGCCAG
rnacentral:misc_RNA from 1 species